GUACUACUGAGGUGUCUCACAAUAGGACGAAACGGCCGUCCAGUGU
rnacentral:hammerhead_ribozyme from 1 species